UUUGAAAUCUGGCCCUUUAGGGGGUCCGAGUUGUAAUUUGCAGAGGGUGCUUUGGCGUUGGCAGCGGUCUAAGUUCCUUGGAACAGGACGUCACAGAGGGUGAGAAUCCCGUACGUGGUCGCCAGCCUUCGCCGUGUAAAGCCCCUUCGACGAGUCGAGUUGUUUGGGAAUGCAGCUCUAAAUGGGAGGUAAAUUUCUUCUAAAGCUAAAUACUGGCCAGAGACCGAUAGCGCACAAGUAGAGUGAUCGAAAGAUGAAAAGCACUUUGGAAAGAGAGUCAAAAAGCACGUGAAAUUGUUGAAAGGGAAGCGCUUGCAGCCAGACUUGCCUGUAGUUGCUCAGCCGGGCUCCGGCCCGGUGCACUCUUCUGCGGGCAGGCCAGCAUCAGUUCGGGCGGCCGGAUAAAGACCUCUGUCAUGUACCUCCCUCCGGGGAGAACUUAUAGGGGAGGUGAAAUGCGGCCAGUCCGGACUGAGGUCCGCGCAUCUGCUAGGAUGCUGGCGUAAUGGCUGUAAGCGGCCCGUCUUGAAACACGGACCAAGGAGUCUAACAUCUAUGCGAGUGUUUGGGUGUCAAGCCCGAGCGCGUAAUGAAAGUGAACGGAGGUGGGAACCCCUCGGGGUGCACCAUCGACCGAUCCUGAUGUCUUCGGAUGGAUUUGAGUAAGAGCAUAGCUGUUGGGACCCGAAAGAUGGUGAACUAUGCUUGAAUAGGGUGAAGCCAGAGGAAACUCUGGUGGAGGCUCGCAGCGGUUCUGACGUGCAAAUCGAUCGUCAAAUUUGGGCAUAGGGGCGAAAGACUAAUCGAACCAUCUA
rnacentral:rRNA from 1 species